rnacentral:rRNA from 1 species
AUGUGCGCGACCAGAACGGAACAGCCAACUACCUCUACCUGCACGCGGCGUACCUCCCAUCUGCUUCCCGCCACCAUAAAUCCUUCUGCCUGUGCUGCCCCUCAGCUCCCUCCUCCCCUCCCGGAGCAAUUCCGCCCCCGCCUCGCCUCGCCUCGGAAGGUUCGCCCGUCGCUCACACAUGAAUGCACCCACUGCCACUCCCACGCACUGCCUCCUCUAGCAUUCUGCUCUCUGCGGAGUUUCGUCGAACAGCUGGUGGGUGUUGCCCCCGGCGCCGCGGAUCUGCCGCUCAGCCAGCGGGAUCCCGCGGUGUCUCGCGCCUCGUGUUUUGAGUUUUUUGGGUGGGAACGGGUUGCUGCUUGCUUGCUGCGUUUGAUCCGAAUUCGACCGAGAAAUGCCCCCCCUGUGGCGCGAGUUUUGCUUCGUAUUUGGCAGGUUGCUGCCUUGUCGUGUGUGUUUUGUCGGUUUGGGGCUCUGGCGCAAAUCCAUUUGGUCAGCCCAGGUCCAGGUGUUAAGGUCCUUUUUUAG